AGGAGCCGAGUCCGGCGGGGAGUGUCCCGCGUGGAAGGCGCUGGGCAGGCAGGGAGGGGAGCGCAGAGCCGUGCCACUCUCUCCGCCGAGUUGGUUUCAUUCUUUUCUUCAUAGGUGGCCAACUGACGAACUGUGUUCACCUGAUAAGGAUUGCUGGCUGUUUGGACAGGCUCAUACCAAGAGAGCCUUUCGUUUUGUCUCCCCUGUUUUUCUGCCUGCGUUUUCUCCGCGUUAGCCACUCAAUUUCCAGUACCAUCCUGGCGGAUGACUUCAGCAUUAGAUGGUCAGGUGUAUUUCUUGAUUAAUAGGUGCAUUCAGUUUGGGAAAGACAGCUUUUCGUUAACGUCCCACGUAAAGGAAUAUGGCCUAUACGGUGAGGAAACUUCCACCGAAAACAAAACAGAAAACAAGCCUCAGAACCUUGCCUGGAAGAAUUCAACUGGUGCCAAAGCUCUGUGACAACGUCAGUAGCUCCUGGUGCACCAUCUGCCUCCUCGACCCCCAGCAGGCACAUCGGUCGUGACGGUUUUCAAAACAAUGGUUCAGAAUGCUGACCACUCGAGAGAGGGCUGCAGCAGCAAGCUUGGGACUGAGUUUCUGGCCUCAUAGAAUGUUCCAUGACAGACCCUCUUUGACUGACGAGGUGUGAGGUAUCGCUCAGGCUGAGUGAGAUUCGGAGGCCUGAAUGCAGGCAUCCACCCUCUGCUCAUGUCCCAUGUUCCAGAUGUCUUCUGGACACCAACCAGUGGAUGUCAUAGGAUGGAUUCACUUCUUUGUUGAUGUAUUCAUCCAGUGUGUUCUGCUGGUGAUGUACUAGGUCCUUGGGACACCAAGGAGCAGUUGGCUCCUUGGCAAUGGAGUCAUUGAUUCAUUUGUUCAAGUAUUCUUUGAAUAGAUACUGAAGACUUAACAUGUGCCAGGCCUGGAGUAGACAUGACAGCCAUCCUCUUGCACAGCUGCUGCCUUCAGAGGGUUUGCACCCUAGUGGGUGAGAUGGCCACUUAGCAGCCCCUGCCUGUGGGUGAGAAGUGCUGAGCGUGAGCAAAGCCUAGGGUGGGUGGUGUCUGCCCAGCCAGGGAAUAGACAAGGCUCCUUCCCUGAGGGGUCACAGAUCAUGUGUUACAUGAUUUAAGCCAUGUGGGGAUGUGGGCAGGGGAAAGGAGGGUAUGUAGAAGGUUCCAGUCUGGCUGGGUGCAGUGGCUCACGCCUGUAAUCCCAGCACUUUGGGAGGCCAAUGUGGGCAGAUCACGAGGUCAGGAGAUCGAGACUAUGAUGGCUAACACAGUGAAACCCCAUCUAUACUAAAAAUACAAAACAUUAGCCAGGCAUGGUGGCAAGCGCCUGUAGUCCCAGCUACUCGGGAGACUGAGGCAGGAGAAUGGUGUGAACCCAGGAGGUGGAGCUUGCAGUGAGCCGAGAUCGUGCCACUGCACUCCAGCUUGGGCGACAGAGCGCGACUCCAUCUCAAAAAAUAAAAAUUAAAAAGGUUCCA
rnacentral:lncRNA from 1 species